rnacentral:rRNA from 1 species
UAAUACGGAGGGUGCAAGCGUUAUCCGGAUUUAUUGGGUUUAAAGGGUCCGUAGGCGGACCGUUAAGUCAGUGGUGAAAGCCCACAGCUCAACUGUGGAAUUGCCAUUGAUACUGGCGGUCUUGAGUACAUGUGAAGUUGGCGGAAUGUGUGGUGUAGCGGUGAAAUGCUUAGAUAUCACACAGAACACCGAUUGCGAAGGCAGCUGGCUAACAUGUAACUGACGCUGAGGGACGAAAGUGUGGGGAUCAAACAGGAUUAGAUACCCUGGUAGUCCACACCGUAAACGAUGAUUACUAGAUUUUGGCCGCAAGGUCAGAGUCCAAGCGAAAGUGUUUAGUAAUCCACCUGGGGAGUACGUCCGCAAGGAUG